CAACGCCGCGUGAGUGAUGAAGGCUUUCGGGUCGUAAAAUUCUGUUGUUAGGGAAGAACAAGUACAAGAGUAUCUGCUUGUACCUUGACGGUACCUAACCAGAAAGCCACGGCUAACUACGUGCCAGCAGCCGCGGUAAUACGUAGGUGGCAAGCGUUAUCCGGAAUUAUUGGGCGUAAAGCGCGCGCAGGCGGUUUCUUAAGUCUGAUGUGAAAGCCCACGGCUCAACCGUGGAGGGUCAUUGGAAACUGGGGAACUUGAGUGCAGAAGAGAAAAGCGGAAUUCCACGUGUAGCGGUGAAAUGCGUAGAGAUGUGGAGGAACACCAGUGGCGAAGGCGGCUUUUUGGUCUGUAACUGACGCUGAGGCGCGAAAGCGUGGGGAGCAAACAGGAUUAGAUACCCUGGUAGUCCACGCCGUAAAC
rnacentral:rRNA from 2 species